rnacentral:rRNA from 1 species
AUUGAACGCUGGCGGCAUGCCUUACACAUGCAAGUCGAACGGUAACAGGUCUUCGGAUGCUGACGAGUGGUGAACGGGUGGGUAAUACAUCGGAACGUGCCCGAGAGUGGGGGAUAACGAGGCGAAAGCUUUGCUAAUACCGCAUACGAUCUCAGGAUGAAAGCAGGGGACCGCAAGGCCUUGCGCUCACGGAGCGGCCGAUGGCAGAUUAGGUAGUUGGUGGGAUAAAAGCUUACCAAGCCGACGAUCUGUAGCUGGUCUGAGAGGACGACCAGCCACACUGGGACUGAGACACGGCCCAGACUCCUGCGGGAGGCAGCAGUGGGGAAUUUUGGACAAUGGGCGCAAGCCUGAUCCAGCCAUGCCGCGUGCAGGAUGAAGGCCUUCGGGUUGUAAACUGCUUUUGUACGGAACGAAAAGACUCUGGUUAAUACCUGGGGUCCAUGACGGUACCGUAAGAAUAAGCACCGGCUAACUACGUGCCAGCCGCCGCCGUAAUAC